GAUGAAGAACGUAGUGAAAUGCGAUAAGUAAUGUGAAUUGCAGAAUUCAGUGAAUCAUCGAAUCUUUGAACGCAUCUUGCGCUACCUGGUAUUCCGAGGAGCAUGCCUGUUUGAGUGUCAUCUAAAUCCUCAAACCACAUUGAUUCUUUCGGUGUGGCUUUGGAAGUGGGGGUAGUGUUUGCAGGUUUUAUCUUAAGUCUGCUCCCCUGAAAUGCAUUAGUGGUAUCUGAGCAGAAGGAACUACUACAGGUGUGAUAAUUUAUCUAUGCCUUAGUAUACUGCAUAAAACAGAUUACACUGCUUAUAACAAACUUUAUUUCUUUUUUUUGGAGACCUCAAAUCAGGUAGGACUACCCGCUGAACUUAAGCAUAUCAAUAAGCGGAGGA
rnacentral:misc_RNA from 1 species